UGCCUGUCCCAAGUCAGGAGCCUGUAAAUUCAGUGGUUGUCGUUUGUUUAUGUGUUACAUAUUUGUUUUUUGUUCAUUUUUUUUUACAUAAAUAAGGCCGUUAGUUUUAUCGUUUGAAUUGUUUUACAUUGUCUUAUCGGGGCCUUUUAUAGCUGACUAUGCGGUAUGGGCUUUGCUCAUUGUUGAAGGCCGUACGGUGACCUAUAGUUGUUAAUGUCUGUGUCAUUUUGGUAUUUGGUGGAUAGUUGUCUCAUUGGCCAUCAUACC
rnacentral:lncRNA from 1 species